rnacentral:snRNA from 1 species
GGACGUGCAUGCAGGCUGCUGUGACACCUGUCACCCCACUGCUCUCCGGGGCUGAUCCCCCUAGUCCCGUCUGCCGGAUGGGGUCCCCUCCUCCUUCACUGACCCACAUGCGGCCCUCGAAGCUGUGGUGGGUGGUAGGAGAGGACACCGCCCACCACAGAGGAGACCUCUUCCUCAGCCAAGGGUGCUCGAGUAGCUGCGCUCCCCACCAGGCCCUCCAAACAGCGCUCGAGGUCCAUACCUCAGAAACACCAUGUAAUCCAGAAGCAGAAGGCCUCCGUCCCACCUCUGCUGUCACUGUGACCUGAUACAUGGGUUUUGGG